rnacentral:rRNA from 1 species
AUAGGGUCAAGUGAAUAAGUGCAUCAGGCGGAUGCCUUGGCGAUGAUAGGCGACGAAGGACGUGUAAGCCUGCGAAAAGCGCGGGGGAGCUGGCAAUAAAGCUAUGAUUCCGCGAUGUCCGAAUGGGGAAACCCACUGCAUUCUGUGCAGUAUCCUAAGUUGAAUACAUAGGCUUAGAGAAGCGAACCCGGAGAACUGAACCAUCUAAGUACCCGGAGGAAAAGAAAUCAACCGAGAUUCCGCAAGUAGUGGCGAGCGAACGCGGAGGAGCCUGUACGUAAUAACUGUCGAGAUAGAAGAACAAGCUGGGAAGCUUGACCAUAGCGGGUGACAGUCCCGUAUUCGAAAUCUCAACAGCGGUACUAAGCGUACGAAAAGUAGGGCGGGACACGUGAAAUCCUGUCUGAAUAUGGGGGGACCAUCCUCCAAGGCUAAAUACUCAUCAUCGACCGAUAGUGAACCAGUACCGUGAGGGAAAGGCGAAAAGAACCCCGGGAGGGGAGUGAAACAGAACCUGAAACCUGAUGCAUACAAACAGUGGGAGCGCCCUAGUGGUGUGACUGCGUACCUUUUGUAUAAUGGGUCAACGACUUACAUUCAGUAGCGAGCUUAACCGGAUAGGGGAGGCGUAGGGAAACCGAGUCUUAAUAGGGCGAUGAGUUGCUGGGUGUAGACCCGAAACCGAGUGAUCUAUCCAUGGCCAGGUUGAAGGUGCCGUAACAGGUACUGGAGGACCGAACCCACGCAUGUUGCAAAAUGCGGGGAUGAGCUGUGGGUAGGGGUGAAAGGCUAAACAAACUCGGAGAUAGCUGGUUCUCCCCGAAAACUAUUUAGGUAGUGCCUCGAGCAAGACACUGAUGGGGGUAAAGCACUGUUAUGGCUAGGGGGUUAUUGCAACUUACCAACCCAUGGCAAACUCAGAAUACCAUCAAGUGGUUCCUCGGGAGACAGACAGCGGGUGCUAACGUCCGUUGUCAAGAGGGAAACAACCCAGACCGCCGGCUAAGGUCCCAAAUGAUAGAUUAAGUGGUAAACGAAGUGGGAAGGCACAGACAGCCAGGAUGUUGGCUUAGAAGCAGCCAUCAUUUAAAGAAAGCGUAAUAGCUCACUGGUCGAGUCGUCCUGCGCGGAAGAUGUAACGGGGCUCAAAUCUAUAACCGAAGCUGCGGAUGCCGGUUUACCGGCAUGGUAGGGGAGCGUUCUGUAGGCUGAUGAAGGUGCAUUGUAAAGUGUGCUGGAGGUAUCAGAAGUGCGAAUGUUGACAUGAGUAGCGAUAAAGCGGGUGAAAAGCCCGCUCGCCGAAAGCCCAAGGUUUCCUACGCAACGUUCAUCGGCGUAGGGUGAGUCGGCCCCUAAGGCGAGGCAGAAAUGCGUAGUCGAUGGGAAACAGGUUAAUAUUCCUGUACUUGAUUCAAAUGCGAUGUGGGGACGGAGAAGGUUAGGUUGGCAAGCUGUUGGAAUAGCUUGUUUAAGCCGGUAGGUGGAAGACUUAGGCAAAUCCGGGUUUUCUUAACACCGAGAAGUGAUGACGAGUGUCUACGGACACGAAGCAACCGAUACCACGCUUCCAGGAAAAGCCACUAAGCUUCAGUUUGAAUCGAACCGUACCGCAAACCGACACAGGUGGGCAGGAUGAGAAUUCUAAGGCGCUUGAGAGAACUCGGGAGAAGGAACUCGGCAAAUUGAUACCGUAACUUCGGGAGAAGGUAUGCCCUCUAAGGUUAAGGACUUGCUCCGUAAGCCCCGGAGGGUCGCAGAGAAUAGGUGGCUGCGACUGUUUAUUAAAAACACAGCACUCUGCCAACACGAAAGUGGAUGUAUAGGGUGUGACGCCUGCCCGGUGCCGGAAGGUUAAUUGAAGAUGUGCAAGCAUCGGAUCGAAGCCCCGGUAAACGGCGGCCGUAACUAUAACGGUCCUAAGGUAGCGAAAUUCCUUGUCGGGUAAGUUCCGACCCGCACGAAUGGCGUAACGAUGGCCACACUGUCUCCUCCCGAGACUCAGCGAAGUUGAAGUGGUUGUGAAGAUGCAAUCUACCCGCUGCUAGACGGAAAGACCCCGUGAACCUUUACUGUAGCUUUGCAUUGGACUUUGAAGUCACUUGUGUAGGAUAGGUGGGAGGCUUGGAAGCAGAGACGCCAGUCUCUGUGGAGUCGUCCUUGAAAUACCACCCUGGUGUCUUUGAGGUUCUAACCCAGACCCGUCAUCCGGGUCGGGGACCGUGCAUGGUAGGCAGUUUGACUGGGGCGGUCUCCUCCCAAAGCGUAACGGAGGAGUUCGAAGGUUACCUAGGUCCGGUCGGAAAUCGGACUGAUAGUGCAAUGGCAAAAGGUAGCUUAACUGCGAGACCGACAAGUCGGGCAGGUGCGAAAGCAGGACAUAGUGAUCCGGUGGUUCUGUAUGGAAGGGCCAUCGCUCAACGGAUAAAAGGUACUCCGGGGAUAACAGGCUGAUUCCGCCCAAGAGUUCAUAUCGACGGCGGAGUUUGGCACCUCGAUGUCGGCUCAUCACAUCCUGGGGCUGUAGUCGGUCCCAAGGGUAUGGCUGUUCGCCAUUUAAAGUGGUACGUGAGCUGGGUUUAAAACGUCGUGAGACAGUUUGGUCUCUAUCUGCAGUGGGCGUUGGAAGUUUGACGGGGGCUGCUCCUAGUACGAGAGGACCGGAGUGGACGAACCUCUGGUGUACCGGUUGUAACGCCAGUUGCAUAGCCGGGUAGCUAAGUUCGGAAGAGAUAAGCGCUGAAAGCAUCUAAGCGCGAAACUCGCCUGAAGAUGAGACUUCCCUUGCGGUUUAACCGCACUAAAGGGUCGUUCGAGACCAGGACGUUGAUAGGUGGGGUGUGGAAGCGCGGUAACGCGUGAAGCUAACCCAUACUAAUUGCCCGUGAGGCUUGACUCUAU